rnacentral:lncRNA from 1 species
GAAGAUGUCUGAGACCAUGGACCAGUUUGAACGCCAGUUUGUGAAUAUGGAAGUACAGGCGGAGUUCAUGGAGAGCUCGAUGGCUGGAAGCACUUCUCUUUCGACUCCAGAAGGAGAGGUCAACAGCUUGAUGCAGCAAGUUGCGGAUGAUUAUGGUCUGGAGGUGUCUGUGGGCUUGCCACAACCUGCUGCUCACGCAGUGCCAACCAAGAACACUGAGAAGGUUGAGGAGGAUGACCUUUCCAGGCGCCUUGCAGAUCUUAAAGCCCGUGGGUAAGUGAAAGUUUCAUGGUUUGUAGUAAUUCUUUUUGUCUAUGACACACUGCAAUUUCGGAUUGAAUCUGUAAAUUUGACUGGAUUAUAUCUUGUGUUUUCU